UGGACGAUGUUGGAUCAACUGUAGUGGACGAUGUUGGAUCAACUGUAGUGGUCGAUGUUGGAUCAACUGUAGUGGACGAUGUUGGAUCAACUGUAGUGGACGAUGUUGGAUCAACUGUAGUGGACGAUGUUGGAUCAACUGUAGUGGUCGAUGUUGGAUCAACUGUAGUGGACGAUGUUGGGCCAACUGUAGAGAACGAUGUUGGAUCAACUGUAAUGGACGAUGUUGGAUCAUCUGUAGUGGACGAUGUUGGAUCAACUGUAGUGGACGAUGUUGGAUCAACUGUAGUGGACGAUGUUGGGCCAACUGUAGUGGACAAUGUUGGACCAACUGUAGUGGUCGUGGUUGGACCAACUGUAGUGGACGAUGUUGGACCAACUGUAG